AUUGAACGCUGGCGGCAGGCCUAACACAUGCAAGUCGAGCGAGCGGCGGACGGGUGAGUAAUGUCUGGGAACUUGCCCGAUGGAGGGGGAUAACUACUGGAAACGGUGGCUAAACCCGCAUACCAUCGGAUGUGCCCAUAUGGGCUUAGCUAGUAGGUGGGGUAAAGGCUCACCUAGGCGACGAUCCCUAGCUGGUCUGAGAGGAUGAUCAGCUGCACUGGAACGGAGACACGGCCCAUACUCCUACGGGAGGCAGGAGGGGGGAAUAUUGGACAAUGGGCGCAAGCCUGAUUCAGCCAUGCCGCGUGUAUGAAGAAGGCCUUAGGGUUGUAAAGUACUUUCAGCGGGGAGGCGUUACCCGCAGAAGAAGCACCGGCUAACUCCGUGCCAGCAGCCGCGGUAAUAC
rnacentral:rRNA from 1 species